AGAGUUUGAUCAUGGCUCAGGACGAACGCUGGCGGCGUGCCUAAUACAUGCAAGUCGAGCGGACCAAAGGGAGCUUGCUCCCGAUGAUUAGCGGCGGACGGGUGAGUAACACGUGGGCAACCUGCCUGUAAGACUGGGAUAACACCGGGAAACCGGUGCUAAUACCGGAUCAUUCUUUUCCUCACAUGAGGAAAAGUUAA
rnacentral:rRNA from 1 species